GCGAGUGAAGCGGUAACAGCUCAAAUUUGAAAUCUGGCCUCACGGUCCGAGUUGUAAUUUGUAGAGGAUGCUUCGAGCAUGGUCUGGCCUAAGUUCCUUGGAACAGGACGUCAUAGAGGGUGAGAAUCCCGUAUGCGGCCAGGUGCCUACGCUCAUGUGAAGCUCCUUCGACGAGUCGAGUUGUUUGGGAAUGCAGCUCAAAAUGGGUGGUAAAUUUCAUCUAAAGCUAAAUAUUGGCCAGAGACCGAUAGCGCACAAGUAGAGUGAUCGAAAGAUGAAAAGCACUUUGGAAAGAGAGUUAAACAGUACGUGAAAUUGUUGAAAGGGAAGCGCUUGCAACCAGACUUGCGCGCGGCCGAUCAUCCGGUGUUCUCACCGGUGCACUCGGCCGUGCUCAGGCCAGCAUCGGUUUUGGCGGCUGGAUAAAGGCCCUAGGAAUGUAGCUCCUCUCGGGGAGUGUUAUAGCCUAGGGUGCAAUGCAGCCUGCUGGGACCGAGGACCGCGCUUCGGCUAGGAUGCUGGCGUAAUGGUUGUAAGCGGCCCGUCUUGAAACACGGACCAAGGAGUCUAACAUCUAUGCGAGUGUUUGGGUGUCAAACCCAUACGCGUAAUGAAAGUGAACGGAGGUGAGAACCCUUAAGGGUGCAUCAUCGACCGGUCCUGAAGUUUACGGAAGGAUCUGAGUAAGAGCAUAGCUGUUGGGACCCGAAAGAUGGUGAACUAUGCCUGAAUAGGGUGAAGCCAGAGGAAACUCUGGUGGAGGCUCGCAGCGGUUCUGACGUGCAAAUCGAUCGUCAAAUUUGGGUAUAGGGGCGAAAGACUAAUCGAACCAUUGACCUGUAGG
rnacentral:rRNA from 1 species